rnacentral:lncRNA from 1 species
UAUGGAAGCAGGAAGGAUGGGAGGAGGGCAGACUGGUCCCUCUAGCAUGGGUCCCCCAUGUUCCCCCACAGCAUGCCUGGACCACCCCCACCCGCCUGCAGAAACACACAAUCACAUGUGUCUAGGAUUUAAAGUUAAAAUUUUGCUUGUCAGCUAGGCACAGUGGCUCAUGCCUGUAAUCCCAGUGCUUUGAGAGGCCACCCUCAGGGAGGAUUGCUUGAGCCCAGGAGUUCAAGACCAGCCUGUUUUCAACUCCGUGGACCCUGUGAGGCACACUUCACUCUCCCCAGCCCUCUGGAUAAAACAGUAGUUCCUUAGGAACUUUAACUUCCCCCAAAAUGCUGUGGCCUCCCAGGCAACAUAGCCAUACCCCAUCUCUACAAAUAAUAAUAAUAAUUAGCUUGUCCAACUGCCUAGCUAAGUCCAUCAAUUUCCUGAGCUCAGGGAGUACAACUACUUCUACUGUCAAUUCCUCAUCAAUUCCUCAUCUGCUUUUGGCCCCACACAUUUUUUAGACCAAAGCUCCGGCUGCUGGAGCAUUAUCUUGAAGUGACUGUAGACCCAAUACCAGGAUUCUGCCCUGUCUGUGUACUGCCAGAUCCAACCCAUGUGUCUUGGGGUGGCUAAAUCUGACAAAGGCCCUGAGUGUCUGGGGACACCUGUGAUCUCCUGCAAGGCUGAGGCUAAUGCCACGCUUUUGCAGCUCUUUGCAUGGGCACAUAUGUGAGAGAAUCAGAUAAAAGGUGUUCCCAAAAAGGAUGUUUGUGUUCAGGGUGGAACCUGACGCCUGCCUCCUGCCUUUGGGUCCUCCCUGAUGGCUGUGCCCUCUCAUACCUCGCAAAAGCAAAGAUAGGUAUCAGUGCUGCCUGUCGUCCUGACCUGUGCGGAGUGACGUUGGGAACAUUGUGGUGACCAACACAGCCCUAGCCCUUGCCCUCAGAGUUCCAGUUCAAGGCUGGGAGCAGUGGCUCAUGCCUGUAAUCCCAACACUUUGGGAGGCCGAGGCAGGUGGGUCACUUGAGGUCAGGAGUUCGCAACCAGCCUGGCCGACAUGGUGAAACCCCAACUCUACUAAAAAUACAAAAAUUAUCCGGGUGUGAUGGCAGGCACCUAUAAUCCCAGCUACCUGGGAGGCUGAGGCAGGAGAAUCACUUGAACCCGGGAGGCAGAGGUUGCAGUGAGCCAAGAUUGGGCCACUGUAGUCUAGCCUGGGCAACAGAGCGAGACUCCGUCCCAAAACAAACCAACAAAAAAGAGUUCUAUUUCCAGUGGAGGAAAUAGAUAAUCACAAAACAAUGGCAUCCCAGAGUGGUCGGGGAUGGGGAAAGAACAGGCAAGAAUGAUCAGGGCUUUUGCAGAAGCCCAGGGGACUCCCAGAGCCAGAGGGUUCUACACUUGAUCUUAGCCAAAAGGCCAAGAAGCAAUCUGAAGUUUCUAACUGGGCCUGGGAUGGGAGGUGGGGAGACAGUCCAAGAUUUCCUGAGGCAGGGCCAGCUUUAUGGCAGUGUGACUGUGGGGUUGCACCAUGCCCCAAACUUAGAAGUACCCUAUGCUUGCUUUAAUGCCCUAGUGUCACUAUCUUGAAAUUAAUAAUUUUUGAACAAGGGCCCCACAUUUUGAUUUUGCACUGCGCCCUGCAAAUUAUGUAGCCAGUCCUGCCCGGAGGAGCGAACACUUGAGGGAUUUACAGAGAGAGCCGAGGCAGAGAGGGUCUUCCCAGGAGAGAGAGCAUUGGGUACAAAAGCCAAGAGAGGGCCAGGCGCAGUGGCUCAUGCCUGUAAUCCCAGCACUUUGGGAGGCUGAAGCGGGCGAAUCACCUGAGGUCAGGAGUUCAAAACCAGCCUGGCAAACAUGGCGAAAACCCGUCUCUACUAAAAAUACAAAGAAUUACCUGGACGUGGUGUCAGGAACCUGUAAUCCCAGCUACUUGGGAGGCUGAGGCAGGAGAAUCGCUUGAACUUGGAAGGCAGAGGUUGCAGUGAGCCCAGAUCCUGCCACCGCACACUAGCCUGGGUGACAGAGUGAGAUUCCGUCUC